rnacentral:lncRNA from 1 species
CUCAGGUAUGCUUUUCUUCUCUCUAUCUUCUCAUUUUUGGGAGAUAUUUGGGGAUUGCUAGUAAGUAUGUUCAGAUAUAUUCUUUUUUAUAUAGUUCUUGCUGAAGAUCAGUUUGUCCUUAUUUCAUCUUCCCCAUGAUAUAUAUGUACUCCUGCUUUGUUUUUUUUGUUUGAUACUCAUUUGAUUUCACCCACCCUCAUCAAGGUCCGUUGAUAACAAUAUGUAAUGUACCUUGUAUGAUUCCCUUUUGUUUC